CCUACGGGUGGCAGCAGUGAGGAAUAUUGGUCAAUGGACGAGAGUCUGAACCAGCCAAGUAGCGUGAAGGAUGACGGCCCUAGGGGUUGUAAACUUCUUUUAUAUGGGAAUAAAAUGGUCCACGUGUGGCAUUUUGUCUGUACCAUAUGAAGAAGGAUCGGCUAACGCCGUGCCAGCAGGCGCGGUAAUACGGAGGAUCCGAGCGUUUACCGGAUUUAUUGGGUGUAAAGGGAGCGUAGGUGGAAUGUUAAGGUAGUUGUGAAAGUUUGCGGCGCAACCCUAGAAGUGCAUUUGAAACUGGCGGUCUUGAGUACAGGAGAGGUGGGCGGAAUUCGUGGUGUAGCGGUGAAAUGCGUAGAUAUCACGAAGAACUCCGAUUGCGAAGGCAGCUCGCUGGACUGCAACUGACGCUGAGGCUCGAAAGUGUGGGUAUCAAACAGGAUUAGAUACCCUAGUAGUC
rnacentral:rRNA from 1 species